AUGUUUGUGGUGUCUGUUUGUGUCAGUUGGCUUCUGUUCACUUUCUUAUCCAUAGAGAACACUACUGAUCACUGCCCAGAAAUAACUGCUUCCCAUGCUCCACCACUACCCAAGUCUAAGCCUAAAUCUAAAAAAGCUCCGCUACCACCAAAAAAUGCUCUUGCUGCUUCUACCACCACCGGCCAUAAGAGUAAUGAAGCACCUCAUGCUAAAAAAAAGGGAAAGGCUCCUGUUAAGCAGCCUUCUCUCCCGCCUCCCAAGCCAACAAGCCACAGUGCAAAUCGAGAAGUUGCUAGUGCUUCACAUGCUAAAAAAACACCAGUCUCCAAGUCCUCUUCAUCACCAUCUACUUCGUCCACAUCAUCUCAUCCCAAAGCCUCUAAGGAGACUUCCAGCAAAUCAGGCGCAUCAGGAACUCCCAGGGGCAAGAAGAAACCUGGGAAACAGACAGCUCCACGAACGGCACCAGAUGGGGCUGCCUCUUCCCCUUCACGUGCCACAGCCAACAAGUUGGAAGUGAAGGCAGAAAAAUCUGAGCCUGAGCAACCUUCCAGUGUAAUUUCUGAAACAGAGGAUGUAGACCAACCGAGCAAGCUGGUUGUCCCCCCUCCUCCCACCACUGCUCCUCCUCCACCCCCACCCCCACCUCCACCUCCUUUUACUUCUGCAGCUGGUCAACUCAUUGUGUCCUCAGAUGCCCAAGAUCCAUCCGAUCCCGGAUCAGAUAGUAAACCUUUUCUCCAGGCCGAGCAAGGCACAGAUGAGGACUUGAGCAGUACAACCCCAGACAGCGGUCCAGAUGCUAGUGGAAAAGACACAAAAAGCUUGGCUAGCAAAGACAACCAAGAAGUGAAGGCAGCUGGCCAGACCCACUCUGAAUCAGCAGAGGAGACUUCUGAUGCUGCUGCUGCUGCUGAGAGUGAAAGCAGCAGAGAGAGCCACAGCAGUGACUCUGAUUCUGAUGGGCCCAUACUUUACACGGAUGAUGAUGACGAUGAUGAUGAUGAUAAUGCGAGUGCUGAAAGUAAGCCCCUAACAAAAGGAGUGUACUGGGGAAGGGGUGACCACCUCAGGAUGUAUACAUUUAUCCUUGGCUGGCUCAGAGGGCCUGCUAAGUGUCUGCGGUAGCUAGAUUGCUAAACUGCAGCUCACUGCUUGCACACAGUCCAAAGACACCUACACCCAAAUGAGUUUUGUGUAGCUGACCCUGUUUAGUCAUGACCUGCAGGAGAGCAAAGACUAGGGCAGAGCUUCUAGCAAGCGUGUCGUUCUGUGGGUGAUUCUGUUCCAAGAUGCGGUGCUGCUGCAGGGCAUCUUACCAAGCAGUUGCUCCCUACCUUUUACAUAUUGUAUAUGAGCAUGCUUGACACCUGUUUGUGCAAAGUGAAGAGAGGCAUGUAUGGCUUCAAGGAAUGAUUUUAGAUCGUUAAGUUUUACCACUGCUGGUAAAUACUUCUCCACUCCAGACAGUUGUGAUGAAAAACUUGCUGAG
rnacentral:lncRNA from 1 species